rnacentral:rRNA from 1 species
UACGGAGGGGGCUAGCGUUAUUCGGAAUUACUGGGCGUAAAGCGCACGUAGGCGGCUUUGUAAGUAAGAGGUGAAAGCCUGGAGCUCAACUCCAGAACUGCCUUUUAGACUGCAUCGCUUGAAUCCAGGAGAGGUGAGUGGAAUUCCGAGUGUAGGAGGUGAAAUUCGUAGAUAUUCGGAAGAACACCAGUGGCGAAGGCGGCUCACUGGACUGGUAUUG